rnacentral:rRNA from 1 species
AGGAUUCCCCUAGUAACGGCGAGUGAAGAGGGAAAAGCCCAGCACCGAAGCCUGCGCASGUUUGCUGUUAGGCAAUGUGGUGUUUGGGUCGGCUCGUGGGACCACCACUCCACUCGAAGUCCAGCAUUGAGUAUGGUUACUGGAUUUGGCCCAGAGAGGGUGAAAGGCCCGUACGGUGGAGUAUCAGACAUGUGAGGUGGUUCACCAGGCCGACCUUAGAGUCGGGUUGUUUGGGAAUGCAGCCCAAAGUGGGUGGUAAACUCCAUCCAAGGCUAAAUACUAGCACGAGUCCGAUAGCGAACAAGUACCGUGAGGGAAAGUUGAAAAGUACUCUGAAGAGAGAGUAAACAGUACGUGAAACCGCAUGCAGGUAAACGGGUGGCGUCAAGCUGCAAGCCCGGAGAAUUCAGCCGGCUAGGAUGUUGUGUAUGCGCCUGGCGCAUCUAUCAGUCAGAGUAUAAGAUUGGGUAGUCCACUCGAAAACAGUGGGCCUGGCCGCAAGGUCAGGAUAUGUGUACCGGGUGGGUGCCGGAGCAUGCUACCUAUCUGGGGACUGUCUAGCCGGUGCACUUUCUCUGUGGUCAACACCACGACCGGUGGUAUUGCCAGUCUGCUGUGUCCAAGUUGCAUUUGGUAGGUCCUUGUUGGCCGACCGGGUGUGAUCACAGGCAAACUCAGUAAACGGCGUGAAGGUGUCUCGGCACCUUUGCGUGUUAUCGGCUACUGGUUGUCAACGGGCCCGCUCUGUGUUUGUUGUAACCGACGCGGAGUGGUCCGGUGGGGCAUGGUGGUAAGAACAACUGUGCAAGGCACCGGGGUUAUCGGCCUCAAAUGCGUCCUGCGCCCACGUUACAAGUGGCACUUUAUCGACGGUGUCGCCGCUGCCUGCUCGGUGCUGGGUGUGAUUGGCGUGUUGCCUGCACAAAGUAGGCCCGCUAAUGGCUCGGUCCGGGAUGGGUAGUUGGUGGCGUUGUCGGCGUGAGACGUGGUGGGCCCAACAGUCUGUGGU